rnacentral:rRNA from 1 species
UCGAGAAUCUUCCGCAAUGGACGAAAGUCUGACGGAGCGAUGCCGCGUGCGGGAUGAAGGCCCUUGGGUUGUAAACCGCUGUCAGAGGGGAUGAAAUCUCCGGAGGUUCUCCUCCGGAGUUGACAGAGCCUCAGAGGAAGCACGGGCUAAGUAUGUGCCAGCAGCCGCGGUAAUACAUACUGUGCGAACGUUAUUCGGAAUCACUGGGCUUAAAGGGUGCGUAGGCGGCGAUUCAAGUCAGAUGUGAAAUGCCUGAGCUCAACUGAGGCAUUGCGUUUGAAACUGGAUUGCUGGAGUGUCCCAGGGGUGUGCGGAACUGCCAGUGGAGCGGUGAAAUGUGUUGAUAUUGGCAGGAACACCGGAGGCGAAAGCGGCACACUGGGGGAUAACUGACGCUGAGGCACGAAAGCCAGGGGAGCGAACGGG